rnacentral:rRNA from 1 species
GAUGAACGCUGGCGGCGUGCCUAAUACAUGCAAGUCGAGCGAACAGACGAGGAGCUUGCUCCUCUGACAUUAGCGGCGGACGGGUGAGUAACACGUGGAUAACCUACCUAUAAGACUGGGAUAACUUCGGGAAACCGGAGCUAAUACCGGAUAAUAUAUUGAACCGCAUGGUUCAAUAGUGAAAGACGGUUUUGCUGUCACUUAUAGAUGGAUCCGCGCCGCAUUAGCUAGUUGGUAAGGUAACGGCUUACCAAGGCGACGAUGCGUAGCCGACCUGAGAGGGUGAUCAGCCACACUGGAACUGAGACACGGUCCAGACUCCUACGGGAGGCAGCAGUAGGGAAUCUUCCGCAAUGGGCGAAAGCCUGACGGAGCAACGCCGCGUGAGUGAUGAAGGUCUUCGGAUCGUAAAACGCUUUUAUUAGGGAAGAACAAAUGUGUAAGUAACCAUGCACGUCUUGACGGUACCUAAUCAGAAAGCCCCGGCUAACUACGUG